rnacentral:misc_RNA from 1 species
GAUGAAGAACGUAGCGAAAUGCGAUACGUAAUGUGAAUUGCAGAUUUCAGUGAAUCAUCGAAUCUUUGAACGCACAUUGCGCCCGCUAGUAUUCUGGCGGGCAUGCCUGUUCGAGCGUCAUUUCAACCAUCAAGCCCCCGGCUUGCGUUGGAGCCCUGCGGCUGCCGCAGGCUCCCAAAUCCAGUGGCGGGCUCGUCGUCGUACCGAGUGCAGUAAACAUCCUCGCUCAGGGAACGUGACGGGUUCUUGCCGUGAAACCCCCCACAUAUCAAGGUUGACCUCGGAUCAGGUAGGAAUACCCGCUGAACUUAAGCAUAUCAAUAAGCGGACGA